rnacentral:rRNA from 1 species
CCAAUAGCGUAUAUUAAAGUUGUUACAGUUAAAAAGCUCGUAGUUGAAUUUCGGGAUUCGUCCAUUGGUCAGGCUUAACUGUCUGUACUGGUGUGUCGGAUUUCUACCUUCUGAAGAACCUUCAUGCCAUUAAUUUGGUGUGUUGGGGAAUCAGGACUGUUACUUUGAAAAAAUUAGAGUGUUUAAAGCAGGCUAACGUCUGAAUACAUUAGCAUGGAAUAAUGAAAUAGGACGGUACGGUUCUAUUUUGUUGGUUUCUAGGAUCGCCGUAAUGAUUAAUAGGGAUAGUUGGGGGCAUUAGUAUUCAAUUGUUAGAGGUGAAAUUCUUGGAUUUAUUGAAGACUAACUACUGCGAAAGCAUUUGCCAAGGAUGUUUUCAUUAAUCAAGAACGAAAGUUAGGGGAUCGAAGACGAUCAGAUACCGUCGUAGUCUUAACCAUAAACUAUGCCGACUAGGGAUUGGACGAUGUUAAUUUUUUAAUGACUCGGUCAGCACCUUACG